rnacentral:rRNA from 1 species
AUGAUUUGACUCUUACUUUAAUUAAUUAUUUUCAAUAAGAGAAUUAUCUUUUUGUUUAGUAUAUUAAAGAAAAAUAUUUUUGGUGAUAGUAAAUUAGUACUGUGAAGGAAUUGAUGAAAUAAUUUAAACACAUAAUUUUACAUAAGUAUAUUUUAUUUAUAGUACCUUUUGUAUCAGGGUUAAUCAAAUAUUUUAAUUUAUAUUUAUAUCUCGAUUUCAAAAGAGCUAAUCUUUUAUUUUAGUUAAUGUUUCAUAAUUAUUAAUAAUAUUGAUUAGGAAAGAAAUUUUAUUCGGUUUUGAAGGUAUCUAGUUUUUUAAGAAUUAAAUUUAAUUUAGCCUUGUUAAUUAAAUAUUACAAUAUUAUAAUAUUUAUAUAACAAGAUAAAAAUUAUAGGGGAUAAGCUCUAUAUUAUUCUAUAAAUUUUCUAUAUAAUUAAUUCUUGUAGGGUUAUAAAUAUCCAUCAUUAGUGAGUAUGUUAUAAUUUAUUUUUUUAUUUUAAUUGAUUUUAUUUCUUUUAGUAUAAUAUUAAAAUAUUAUAAUAAAUGUUAAAUUAUAAGAAAUAAUGAUUAAAUUAGUAUAAGAUUUUGUUCAUUAAUUUUUUAUUGAUCAUGAUAAGAUAAGGAACUCGGCAAAUAUAGUUCUCGCCUGUUUAACAAAAACAUGUCCUUUAGAAUUUAAUUGAAGGUCUGACCUGCCCAGUGAUUAAUUUAACGGCCGCGGUAUACUGACCGUGCAAAGGUAGCAUAAUCAUUAGUCUUUUAAUAGAGGGCUGGAAUGAAAGGUUUAACGAGGAAUUGACUGUCUCAUCUUAUUUGUUUUAAAAUUUAAUUUUUUAGUUAAAAAGCUGAAAUUUUAUUGGUAGACGAGAAGACCCUAUAGAUCUUUAUAAAUAAUUGUGUAAUUAUUUUUAUAUUAACACUUUUAUUCAAUUAUUUAUUUUGUUGGGGUGACAAAAACAUAUAAAUAACUUUUUUAUUUACAAAACAUUGAUUUAUGAAUAUUAGAUCCAUUAUUAUUGAUUAUUAGAAUAAGUUACCUUAGGGAUAACAGCGUAAUCCUCUUCCAGAGUUCAUAUUUACGAGGGGGGUUGCGACCUCGAUGUUGGAUUAAGAUAAUAGUUAGGUGUAGCCGCUUAAUAUAUAGGUCUGUUCGACCUUUAAAC